UGUUUUUCUUCCACACUUGCUUCAGUGUCCUUGGAAGUGAGUCAGGCUCUCACAGCAGAAUCAACAAGACUAAAAGAAGAGAUGCGUAGCUGCCAAAGUUUCAUUCUUGACACAGGGACCGCUACGAGUGCCCAAAUGAGCUGGGACACCCCCUCUAAAGUUCUGUGUUUUUUCUUCCUCUUUCCUUUCCUUUACUCCCAUGUAGCUCAUGGUUCCUUGGCUGCAGGCCCCGGAGGCUGACCUGCGUGAGAGGGCCAUCUGGAGCAGCGCCUCGCUCCUCAACUUUGUCGCCAACAAAUUGCAGCUGGAAACCAAGUCCAAGUUCUCCCACCUCGGUCAUCUGGUAGCCAUUUUGGGAAUCUGCUGCGGUGACCCGAUCAAAUCGAUCUGUUCGAAAGCUGCCAAGAGCAUCCAUCUUCUCCUUUCCAUCGUGCUGGGGCAAAAAAGUAAGAGGGUUAAGCGGGAAUGGAUGUCCACCAAAUCCCCAAGAUUGCAGGGGCGCCUAGAGACCAUCGGGUCCAGCCUCCCCGCUCAGUCCAGCUUAAAUCCCAAACGGAUCUGGACUCUCAUAAGUACUAGCCAGUUGACCGCGGGGACGCUGCAACGGAUGUAAACGUGAAAAACGGUCCUUAUUUUUAGUGCCGGCGUCAUUCCAAAUAGUCACUGUUGCAAGUCGAGGACUAACUGGGCUGGUCCUUCUGUGGGCUCCUGGUGGGGGGCCUCUGCCAGCCUCUCAAGCUAGCUUGCAAAACCCCAGGGAAGUGGUGAAGGGUGUUGUGCGAAGUCAGCCCGCUCGUCGGAAAAGUCCGAGAGUAACGCUGGAUUCUGCUCUGUGUGCCAGUUGCAAAGUUAGACCAGAAGAACGUCCACACCGAAGUCAUCAAGUGGAAGCACCAGGAAUUUCUGGAGACCUGGAAUCCCAUGGUUUUUCUCAAAAAUCCUUCCAGAGUCGCUGAGGUGUUCAGUGUCUACUUCAGCCCCAGAGAGAAGACGGAUUUCCUUCUGACCGUCCUGGAUGGGCUGACCGAGGCCUGCAGCAAUUUCUCUCUGGCAGCUACAGAGUCUCUUCUCGCCAGCAUCGCGAGGACCUGCGGUCCAGAAAUAGAAAAGGUCCCCGAUAUUAUAGAAGGGAUCUGCAGCCGUCUGAACCUGAUCCGUCGACCCAGCACCAGAAGGCUGUUGAUGAAGCUGGUGGGGCUGUUGGCGGGCAGGACCGAGCAUUUAGACACCGUUAUCUCAACUCUUCUGGAACAUUCCUUCUCAGCAGACAGCAGUCCAUCUGAGCUGUGGCGAUCUCUUUCCACGGAGGAAAUGAUCGAAGAACAACUUCUGGAGAACUUGCUCACCAGGCUGCAGAGCCAACAUAAGACACAGCUGCAGCCUCCAUCCUUCUCCCUCUCUUUAACCCAGGCUCUCUACGAGGUGAUCUCCGUCCUGGAAUCCAGGGACACCAUCCGAGGCCUUUUUCCGGAGCUCCUGGUGACCUUCCUUGUCGAGCUUCAUUUCAGCAGUCAGAGGGACGCCCUGCCCGACGUGGACUUCCUCCAGCAGUGCGGGCAGGUCAAAGGUCAAGUCAGUUUCGCCGUGGAGGCCAUCAAGAUGCUGCUCAUCCGGAUCGGAUGCCGGUACGAGGUGACCUUCAUGGAGAAGACGCGAGGCUGGUCGAUGCUGCAAAGCGGCCGGGAACUCCUCCAGGGAAGCACCCUCCUGGCCAGAGCCAUGCUCCAUUUUUGCUGCCCGGAGAUUAUCAGGGUCCUGGAUUUGCUAUUCUCUGUCCUCAGCAAAAGCAGCGAAAUGCACAAGCCGACAAUCAUUGCCUUCUUUGUCGAGCUACUUCACUCCCAAGACAUCGACCAGUUUCCCACAGAACAGAUCUUUGAGAACCUGGAGGAAUGGACCCAAAACCCCAGCCCAGAUGUUCGCUCUCUUGCCCUACGGGCCCUUGGCAUCCUGGUCAUCCAUCCAGACAAGGUGGAGGAAGUCAAAGCCUUGAUGCCCACCCUCUUGGCUGGCCUGGAGGAAACGGACAACGGGGUCAUCCUGGAAGCCAUCACCGCCCUCCAAAAUGUUCUGAAGUUCAUGCAGAGGAGCGACGUUGUAACUCUGGCAGAGAAGCUCCUUCCGUUGUUUAGCGCUGCAGACCCUAAAGUACGCAGUUCCGCCAUCUUUCUCUUUUCUGAGCUUACGAGUUUGGUGAAGAAGAAGGAGAAGUAUCUAAUCCAGGAGCAAGUUAAUCAAAGUCUGGUCCCACUGUUACUUCACCUGCAGGACGAGGAGCCGGAUGUUGUGAAGGGUUGUCAAGAUGCUCUUGUCAAGUGUUUCCGCUUUCUGGGUUGGUCACUUCCGAAGAAGGUCAGCAGCAAGAAAGCCUGGCACGAUCACCCCUUGAUCCCAGAGACCCUCUGCCGUCAAAUCUCCUGGAAGGUAAAGACCAUCCCCGCCAUCUUGCUCCAGUGCCUGGAUCAUCUCCAGUGUCCCCAGGUUGCUAUCCGGAGAGCGGCGGCCAUCUUUAUUGGCUGUGUUGCUCAGUGUGCAGAUCCUGUGGCCAUCACUGAAGAGAACCGGGACUUGAUAUUCAUCUCCCUUUCCAAACUGCAGCACGAUCCGGAUCCUUCGGUCCGGGUGGCCGCCAUGGAGGCCAUGCAGAUGGUCCAGGAGGCCUGCGGGGGCCCCUCCAUCGCGCUGCGAAGCCAGACCCACUUCAGCCUGGACAGGGAAGAGCGCCUCUUCUCGCAGGGACACUGGGAAGUGCCGGAUCCAGCCCUGACCCAUCGCUGGAACCCAUCAUCCCCCGUCUCCCACCGGAUCGUCACUAGCCACGUCAGGAGGCGACAGUCGGGGCCCGCCCGCCAAACCUGACCCACAGCCGGGGGGGGCAGAAGGCAGACCACGCCAGGCAGCGGAUUCUCCGAGAGGCCGGAGGGCUGCAGCAGAACCGAUCCGGAACCUCCGAUCCAGAAGGGAUCCCCGCGGGAAAGCCGGCGAUGGAGGUGGUCCAGUCCCGCGGUUGUGUCUAGAUCUGCGAGGGUGAAUUUUGCGGCGAUGCGGGUCAAUGUCCAUGCUGAGUGGCGCUCACUCCUUUACAUUUCUUCGGAAAAAUGUCCGCUUUGCUCCUGCCCCAACUCGGAGCAACUUACAAGGGCGAGGAACGAAUUGAGAGGAGAAUGGAAACGACCGGAAAGAAUCGGGACGAUUGAAAGCCGCCGACUCAGACUCAAAUUCAGAGAAUUGGGAACCGCAGGAAGUUUUUUGGGAAUUAAAACAACUGGGAAUCUGCUGGCGAGCAGAGCAAGGAACUUCAUCGUGAAGCAGCCUCCUGAAGAACAGAUCCAACCGAGACUGCAAAACCUUAAUAAUAAGUGAUAGAAAACCCAGAAGAAUUCAGAAGAAUACCCUAUAAAUAAAGAUUUCAAAAGUAUUCACGGAUUGCAGCUGCUUAGAUGGGCCUAGGGCAAAAUUUGCUAGUUUUUUAAUCCUGCUCUUUUGCAGACAGGAAUCACGGGCUGAUUCUACUUCGCUCCCCUUCUCUUUAUCCCCAAAAAUUUAUUUCUUCAUUCAUUCAAGUUGGAAUAAAUCAAUUCCAUCCUCCAGGCAACUGUCAGUGCCAACCUUUGACACAUCGAAAGAAACAGAAGGAAAAGCAUAAACUAGCUGCCAACUUCUGGAAUAAAUUGACUUUGAGUUGGUUCCCAAGAUGCAUAAAUCAAUUGGGUUGUUCUUUUCUUUGAUCCAUGCAUGGGGGAAAGUUUUAAAGCAGGUAGAUUUAUGAGUCCCCUGUUUUCUAGAGUUUUCCAACAUGCAGGCUGAGGAAUGCCAAGAACUUGAUCGGGUUCUGUGAGAUAUUACAAAAAAAUUAAAAAGUGCAUCCGAAUGCAGACUGUUUACUACCAUAGGCACUUCGUCCCUUACUCUUCAAGUCUUGCAAUCUCAUUUUUAACUAGCUAACAUAGGGGUCUUCAAACUUGGCCCUUUGAUGACU